rnacentral:tRNA from 1 species
AAAUAAGAAGCGAAUUUUGCAAUCAGUUUCGACCUGAUGUUUGGUUAAAUAACCCUUAUUUA